ensembl:processed_transcript
UUUAGAUGCUUUAACGUUUUAUUUACCCCCCGAUUUUGUCAGUGUAUCUUAAACGUGACUUUUGAGGUGUAGUGUUUCGAAUUUUGAAGCAUUUAAAACUUUCCAGUUUGUUUUUAGUCUUGUUUGCGCUCCGGUGACGCGCAGCUAACCUCGAGGUAAUGUCACAUGUUUAACGUUAGUCUAAAUGAGCGUUUUUAUGGCAAAUUCAAAGUGAUAAACUCCAAACGCAGUUUAAAGUUACUGAGCAACGUUAUAAAACAAUAUCCAUUUUAUACGCUGUAUUAUUAGUGUUAUUAUUACAAAGUUAACUGCUGUCGUUUCACUGUUGUUGUUGUUUUUGCUUUUAGACAUGUAACUUACUCCAGAGACGCACUAACUUGCACAGCAUUGAAUGGAAAAGGCUUUGUCCAUGACCAGUUGAGGGGCAUCAAGAACAUGCAGAUGGCCUAAACCUGUGUCAGCCUGGACAGACUGCAGUUCUGCUACUCCAUGCCAAGGCUUUUGUAUGGAUGUCUUGACUGCUACUGUGUUCUCUAAAGGUUUUCUGGAAGCUCCAUUUGAGGGCAUCAAGGACAUACUGAUGGCCUAAACCAGUGUCAGCCUAGACAGACAGACAUCUAUUGCAGUUCUGCUACACAAGACCAAACUCUCUGCUUUUGUAUGGAUGUCUGACUAGUACGGUGUUCUCUAAAGGUGUAACUGGAGCAAAACAACAGCACCCGUUACAGUGAAAUUUGUGUUCAUAAAAGAUAGUGAUAUAUCAGGUAUAGUAACAGGUCCAGUACAUUUGUCAUAAAGGUUAAAUCACAGUAAGUACUGUAAAAAUAACUUGUUUGC